ACUGGGUCGGCGACGGGCCUAGAAGGCGGCCGGCGUAAGAAAGGCAGGACGGUAGCACAGACGAACAGCAUAACAACAAACAGGGUACAGGAGUAGUGGAGGAAGGGGUAAAACAGUGGUUGGGUGAGAAAAGGAGACUGAAAACAGGAAAGGAUCUGCUAACCAUCAUUUCACCAUGAUCAGCCUGGUUGGCUCAAGACGGAAGCGUGAGCAGCAGCGUCGCGAGCAGCAGCAGCGAGAACAGGAGAGCGAGAGCAGCUCCGGCAGCAGCGAGAGCGAGAGUGAGAGCGAGGAGUCACAGGACGAGGAGGGCCAGAAAAAGUACCACAACAUCUGCAAGGAUAAGGCGAGCACCAAGGAACAGAAGGAGAAGAAAUAAGCUCAGGAUGCGCGAAAUGAAGACAGCUCAGAAGAGUCGGACGACUAAUUCGGCCGCCUCUCCAUCGGGAGUGGGAUGCCUUGUUUUCUUCUCUACAGAAGCGACUCCAUUCGGAUGAAACAAUUUGUCUGCACUAACAUCAAAAGGUGCCGAGCGCUGCGCUGUGAAUGAAAUAUAUGGAGAUGAUAUGA